UUUUAUGGAGAGUUUGAUCCUGGCUCAGGAUGAACGCUGGCGGCGUGCCUAAUACAUGCAAGUCGAGCGAACGGACGAGAAGCUUGCUUCUCUGAUGUUAGCGGCGGACGGGUGAGUAACACGUGGAUAACCUACCUAUAAGACUGGGAUAACUUCGGGAAACCGGAGCUAAUACCGGAUAAUAUUUUGAACCGCAUGGUUCAAAAGUGAAAGACGGUCUUGCUGUCACUUAUAGAUGGAUCCGCGCUGCAUUAGCUAGUUGGUAAGGUAACGGCUUACCAAGGCAACGAUGCAUAGCCGACCUGAGAGGGUGAUCGGCCACACUGGAACUGAGACACGGUCCAGACUCCUACGGGAGGCAGCAGUAGGGAAUCUUCCGCAAUGGGCGAAAGCCUGACGGAGCAACGCCGCGUGAGUGAUGAAGGUCUUCGGAUCGUAAAACUCUGUUAUUAGGGAAGAACAUAUGUGUAAGUAACUGUGCACAUCUUGACGGUACCUAAUCAGAAAGCCACGGCUAACUACGUGCCAGCAGCCGCGGUAAUACGUAGGUGGCAAGCGUUAUCCGGAAUUAUUGGGCGUAAAGCGCGCGUAGGCGGUUUUUUAAGUCUGAUGUGAAAGCCCACGGCUCAACCGUGGAGGGUCAUUGGAAACUGGAAAACUUGAGUGCAGAAGAGGAAAGUGGAAUUCCAUGUGUAGCGGUGAAAUGCGCAGAGAUAUGGAGGAACACCAGUGGCGAAGGCGACUUUCUGGUCUGUAACUGACGCUGAUGUGCGAAAGCGUGGGGAUCAAACAGGAUUAGAUACCCUGGUAGUCCACGCCGUAAACGAUGAGUGCUAAGUGUUAGGGGGUUUCCGCCCCUUAGUGCUGCAGCUAACGCAUUAAGCACUCCGCCUGGGGAGUACGACCGCAAGGUUGAAACUCAAAGGAAUUGACGGGGACCCGCACAAGCGGUGGAGCAUGUGGUUUAAUUCGAAGCAACGCGAAGAACCUUACCAAAUCUUGACAUCCUUUGACAACUCUAGAGAUAGAGCCUUCCCCUUCGGGGGACAAAGUGACAGGUGGUGCAUGGUUGUCGUCAGCUCGUGUCGUGAGAUGUUGGGUUAAGUCCCGCAACGAGCGCAACCCUUAAGCUUAGUUGCCAUCAUUAAGUUGGGCACUCUAAGUUGACUGCCGGUGACAAACCGGAGGAAGGUGGGGAUGACGUCAAAUCAUCAUGCCCCUUAUGAUUUGGGCUACACACGUGCUACAAUGGACAAUACAAAGGGCAGCGAAACCGCGAGGUCAAGCAAAUCCCAUAAAGUUGUUCUCAGUUCGGAUUGUAGUCUGCAACUCGACUACAUGAAGCUGGAAUCGCUAGUAAUCGUAGAUCAGCAUGCUACGGUGAAUACGUUCUCGGGUCUUGUACACACCGCCCGUCACACCACGAGAGUUUGUAACACCCGAAGCCGGUGGAGUAACCUUUUAGGAGCUAGCCGUCGAAGGUGGGACAAAUGAUUGGGGUGAAGUCGUAACAAGGUAGCCGUAUCGGAAGGUGCGGCUGGAUCACCUCCUUUCUAA
rnacentral:rRNA from 1 species